rnacentral:rRNA from 1 species
GAUGAACGCUGACAGAAUGCUUAACACAUGCAAGUCAACUGUGGCGGACGGGUGAGUAACGCGUAAAGAACUUGCCUCACAGUUAGGGACAACAUUUGGAAACGAAUGCUAAUACCUGAUACUGUGAGAGAGCUUUGCGUCCCAUUAGCUCGUUGGAGAGGUAACGGCUCACCAAGGCGAGGAUGAGUAGCCGGCCUGAGAGGGUGAUCGGCCACAAGGGGACUGGGAAACCACCCGUACGCCAUCGGGCGGCAUCGGUGGGGAAUAUUCGACAAUGGACCAAAGUCUGAUCCAGCAAUUCUGUGUGUACGAUGAAGUUUUCGGAAUGUAAAGUGCUGUAAGUUGGGAAGCGGUACCAACAGAAGAAGCGACGGCUAAAUACGUGCCAGCAGCCGCGGUAAUAC